UGAAGGUGAAACCUUUGAAUGGGGUAAGUGUCCAUUAGAUGGCUGGACUUGUGUGCCACUCCCCCAGAUGAGAAGGAAGAGGAAUGACACCAUCUAUGAGGAAAGCCACUGACUCUGGAGCUAUGAGAAAUAAAUGUUGGAGCUUAGAAGCCGCAUGGACGUGGCAUUCUGGCAUGGCAGUGAGGACAGACUGCCACAGUCCCUCAGGGGACAUGCAGUGAGAUCAGAAGUCAAAGCUGUUGGAGGACUGACACUGGCUGCUCUGGAGCUGAUGUCGUCCGCAUUCAAUCCUGGAUGUCGUCUGUACACAAUCCAGCAUGUAUGCAGCUGUGGUUGACAUUCUAAGAGACCUUCAGAAUAUGGCAUUUAAAGUAUUUUAAGAACUUAG